rnacentral:rRNA from 1 species
AGUGAACGCUGGCGGUAGGCCUAACACAUGCCAGUCGAACGGCAGCACAGUAAGAGCUUGCUCUUACGGGUGGCGAGUGGCGGACGGGUGAGGAAUACAUCGGAAUCUACUUUUUCGUGGGUGAUAACGUAGGGAAACUUACGCUAAUACCGCAUACGACCUACGGGUGAAAGCAGGGGAUCUUCGGACCUUGCGCGAGUGAAUGAGCCGAUGUCGGAUUAGCUAGUUGGCGGGGUAAAGGCGCACCAAGGCGACGAUCCGUAGCUGGUCUGAGAGGAUGAUCAGCCACACUGGAACUGAGACACGGUCCAGACUCCUACGGGAGGCAGCAGUGGGGAAUAUUGGACAAUGGGCGCAAGCCUGAUCCAGCCAUACCGCGUGGGUGCAGAAGGCCUUCGGGUUGUAAAGCCCUUUUGUUGGGAAAGAAAAGCAGCAGGUUAAUACCCCGCUGUUCUGACGGUACCCAAAGAAUAAGCACCGGCUAACUUCGUG